UACGGGGGGAGCAAGCGUUGUUCGGAUUUACUGGGCGUAAAGGGCGCGUAGGCGGUCAGCACAAGUCAGUUGUGAAAUCUCCGGGCUUAACUCGGAAAGGUCAACUGAUACUGUGCGACUAGAGUGCAGAAGGGGCAACUGGAAUUCUCGGUGUAGCGGUGAAAUGCGUAGAUAUCGAGAGGAACACCUGCGGCGAAGGCGGGUUGCUGGGCCGACACUGACGCUGAUGCGCGAAGCCAGGGGAGCGAACGGG
rnacentral:rRNA from 1 species